rnacentral:rRNA from 1 species
CCUACGGGGGGCAGCAGUCGAGAAUCAUUCACAAUGGGGGAAACCCUGAUGGUGCGACGCCGCGUGGGGGAAUGAAGGUCUUCGGAUUGUAAACCCCUGUCAUGUGGGAGCAAAUUAACAAGAUAGUACCACAAGAGGAAGAGACGGCUAACUCUGUGCCAGCAGCCGCGGUAAUACAGAGGUCGCAAGCGUGGUUCGGAAUCACUGGGCGUAAAGCGUGCGUAGGCUGUUUCGUAAGUCGUGUGUGAAAGGCGCGGGCUCAACCCGCGGACGGCACAUGAUACUGCGAGACUAGAGUAAGGGAGGGGGAACCGGAAUUCUCGGUGUAGCAGUGAAAUGCGUAGAUAUCGAGAGGAACACUCGUGGCGAAGGCGGGUUCCUGGACAUUAACUGACGCUGAGGCACGAAGGCCAGGGGAGCGAAAGGGAUUAGAUACCCGGGUAGUC